UACGUAGGCAGCAAGCGUUGUUCGGAGUUACUGGGCGUAAAGGGUGCGUAGGCGGUUGUUUAAGUUUGGUGUGAAAUCUCCCGGCUCAACUGGGAGGGUGCGCCGAAUACUGAAUGACUAGAGUGCGGGAGAGGAGAGUGGAAUUCCUGGUGUAGCGGUGAAAUGCGUAGAUAUCAGGAGGAACACCGGUGGUGUAGACGGCUCUCUGGACCGGAACUGACGCUGAGGCGCGAAAGCGUGGGGAGCAAACGGG
rnacentral:rRNA from 1 species